rnacentral:rRNA from 1 species
UACAGAGGGUGCGAGCGUUGUCCGGAAUCAUUGGGCGUAAAGAGCGCGUAGGCGGCCCUGUAAGUCCGCUGUGAAAGUCAAGGGCUCAACCCUUGGAUGCCGGUGGAUACUGCAGGGCUAGAGUCCGGAAGAGGCGAGUGGAAUUCCUGGUGUAGCGGUGAAAUGCGCAGAUAUCAGGAGGAACACCGAUGGCGAAGGCAGCUCGCUGGGACGGUACUGACGCUGAGGCGCGAAGGCGUGGGGAGCAAACAGG